AUCCCAAGGUUCACUGCGGUUUUCCACAAGCCUGUUUCUGCCUAUCACCAUGAGUGAUUCCUUUAUACUCAUAUUUAUCAUCAAGAUCUCAAUUAUAAGCUCAAGUCUUGAUGACAACUUGAUGAUCUGCAGGAAGCACCACCAUGUAAGGAAGGCCAAGACCACUCUGGAAUCAGUCAAGGGUGAAAUGGAGUGAGGCAUACCAGGAUAUGCCUGGUUUUACUCUUGGGAUGGAGGUUGAACAGUGCAAUAUUUCUUCUAUAGGAUUGCAGUGACCAGACAUGCUACUGUAACUCUCAUGGUCAUGUGCUGGAAUUAGCAGAUAUUCAACAGUUUGGCCAUCUUGCUGACCUAUUGAUAUCAGAAGACCGAAACAGCUCUGCAAAGCAAGUUGGAAAACAGAAUCCACGAAACUGGCAGUGACCGGAAACCAGUUGGAAGACUUUGGUCUGUGACGUAGAGGAGUGGGCAGAGGUAGCAGAAGCGAAGACAACAAAAAACAGAAGUGAUAUGGAUGUCUUCGUCAUAUGGCAUGACUCUGCUGACCCAGCAACAAAGAGGAGGGUGUUCAACAUCAUCCUGCUAGUCAGGAUUCUUCAGGAGCAGUGGAUUCUUGUGGCAGAGAUGGCCAACCACUAUAAAUACCUUUCAACUAAUCCUGGUUCCUUCAAAGAACUUUCCUGCUUGUUUGCUACUGAAAAAUUCGACAUGUGGCCUAAACGAAGAGGGGUUAAAAGGUCUAUGGAUCAUCAUUCUCAGAAAGCAACAAAAUAUCUGAGAAAUAAACAACAAUACGAUGGUGCAAUCUGGAGACCUGCAAGGUACCUGCAAGUUUUGGCUGGAGCAGAGAACAUAGAUUUUUUAAAUAAAGCUCCAGCUGAUGAGU